rnacentral:SRP_RNA from 1 species
GCUGGGUGUGGUGGCGUGCACCUGUAAUCCCAGCUACUCAGGAGGCUGAGGCAGGAGAAUUGCUUGAACCCAGGAGGUGGAGGUUGCAGUGAGCCAAGAUCACACCACUGCACUCUAGCCUGGGUGACAGAGCAAGACUUGGUCUCAA